ACUAACAAUUCUGUAAUUGUAAAUAAUCAAAAAUCUAAAAAGCAACACUUACUUUAUCAAAUGUUCUGAGGUGUUUCUCCUUUUUUUUUUUUUUUUUUUUUUUUAGAUUUUUUGAAAAUUUAUUUAUUUGUGAGAGACAGAAGGAGGCAGAGACACACAGGCAGAGAGAGAAGCAGGCUCCAUGCAGGGAGCCUGAUGCAGGACUCGAUCCCAGGACUCCAGGAUCACACCCGGGCCGAAGGCUGGCACUCAACCGCUGAGCCAUCCAGGUGUCCCUGAGCUGCUUCUCUUGAAGAGAUGUAUAUGUCUAUGGCUCAAUGUUAGAGAGAGUAAGUCAGGAGAGGAGCAGAGGAAGAAAACUUCCAGCUGACUCUCUGCUAAGUGUGGAGCCCCAUGUGGGCCUUGACCUUACAAUCCAUGGGAUCACUGACCUGAACUGAAAUCAAGAGUCCAACACUUAACCAACUGAGCCACUCAGGCAUCCACAAUGGAUUCUUAAAAACUGACAUCAGGUAGUCUCAAACUAUACGAAGAAACAAGUUGUUUGGAGAAUGUGCUUAUUUAUCAUGCAAAGGACAUUAUUCACAGUCAUUAGAAUUUUAAAGUUAUCUUCUGAAUAUAAAAAUAUGUUACACACAUUUAUAAAGAUCUCAGGGAAAAUUUAGGUUGAUAUGAAUAUUGUAUGAAAUUAUUAUAUGGGAUUGAACAAUUCAGUACAUGCUCUUAGAGACAUUUUAAUGUUGAAGUUGCUUUUAAGAAUUAUUAACUAGUGAAUAAUUAAAAUGUUGUCAGAAUGGAUUCAAGGCCAAUUAGUUUGGUUGCAGAUAAAAGGGCCUAAGAAAUCCAUGACUGCCAACAAGGGCAAUUAAUAGGAUUUAUUUGCAUGGUGUAAAAAAAAAAAAAAUUCAGCAUGGGUACCAAAAUGUACAUCUUCUAGAAUAUAGCAAUUUAGCUUUCAUGCCCAAAUUGGAAAUAUAAUACUAACAUAAAUGAAUCCAAUAAUGAGGUGCAGUUAAGUAAUGGCAUAGUAAUAAUAUCUGACAUUUGUAUAUGCUUUAUUUCUUUUCAAUUAAUUUUAUAGCUCUUUUAUCCAGAUUACUGGACCUAAAACCUGUUUGUAACAGUUUAUACAGGUUCUAGUGUCCUUCACUUUGAAUGGAUUGAUUUAUGAAUUUCAAACAACCAAACUGACAUUUUUACGCCAAAUAAACUGGUUAUUUGGCUAAACCCACGGACUCGACCUAUCGCCGUGGUGACAAGCAGAUACUCUCUG
rnacentral:lncRNA from 1 species